rnacentral:rRNA from 1 species
CACGUAGGGCGCGAGCGUUGUCCGGAAUUAUUGGGCGUAAAGAGCUCGUAGGUGGUUUGUCGCGUUGUCCGUGAAAACUCACAACUCAAUUGUGGGCGUGCGGGCGAUACGGGCAGACUGGAGUACUGCAGGGGAGACUGGAAUUCCUGGUGUAGCGGUGGAAUGCGCAGAUAUCAGGAGGAACACCGGUGGCGAAGGCGGGUCUCUGGGCAGUAACUGACGCUGAGGAGCGAAAGCGUGGGGAGCGAACAGG